AUUGAACGCUGGCGGCAUGCUUUACACAUGCAAGUCGAACGGUAACAGGCCGCGAGGUGCUGACGAGUGGCGAACGGGUGAGUAAUGCAUCGGAACGUGCCCAGUCGUGGGGGAUAACGCAGCGAAAGCUGCGCUAAUACCGCAUACGAUCUAUGGAUGAAAGCGGGGGACCGUAAGGCCUCGCGCGAUUGGAGCGGCCGAUGUCAGAUUAGGUAGUUGGUGGGGUAAAGGCUCACCAAGCCAACGAUCUGUAGCUGGUCUGAGAGGACGACCAGCCACACUGGGACUGAGACACGGCCCAGACGCCUACGGGAGGCAGCAGUGGGGAAUUUUGGACAAUGGGCGCAAGCCUGAUCCAGCAAUGCCGCGUGCAGGAAGAAGGCCUUCGGGUUGUAAACUGCUUUUGUACGGAGCGAAAAGGCUCUCUCUAAUACAGGGGGCUCAUGACGGUACCGUAAGAAUAAGCACCGGCUAACUACGUGCCAGCAGCCGCCGCCGUAA
rnacentral:rRNA from 1 species